CACACUGUAAACGAUGAUAACUCGCUGCCGGCGAUACAUUGUUGGUGGCCAAGCGAAAGCAUUAAGUUAUCCACCUGGGGAGUACGACCGCAAGGUUGAAACUCAAAGGAAUUGACGGGGGCCCGCACAAGCGGUGGAGCAUGUGGUUUAAUUCGAGGCAACGCGAAGAACCUUACCCGGGUUUGACAUCCGUAGAAUCCUUCAGAGAUGAGGGAGUGCCGGUUUACCGGAGCUACGAGACAGGUGC
rnacentral:rRNA from 1 species